rnacentral:rRNA from 1 species
UAACGCGUGAGUAACCUGCCUUUCANAGGGGGAGUAACGUUCUGAAAGGAACGCUAAUACCGCAUGAGACUACAGAGCUGCAUGGCUCAGUGGUCAAAGGAGCAAUCCGCUGAAAGAUGGACUCGCGUCCGAUUAGAUAGUAGGCGGGGUAACGGCCCACCUAGUCGACGAUCGGUAGCCGGACUGAGAGGUUGAACGGCCACAUUGGGACUGAGACACGGCCCAGACUCCUACGGGAGGCAGCAUG